CCUACGGGUGGCAGCUGUGGGGAAUAUUGGACAAUGGGGGGAACCCUGAUCCAGCCAUGCCGCGUGUGUGAAGAAGGCCCUCGGGUUGUAAAGCACUUUCAGUGAGGAAGAACGCCUGGUGGUUAAUACCCAUCAGGAAAGACAUCACUCACAGAAGAAGCACCGGCUAACUCCGUGCCAGCAGCCGCGGUAAUACGGAGGGUGCGAGCGUUAAUCGGAAUUACUGGGCGUAAAGCGCGCGUAGGUGGCUUGAUAAGCCGGUUGUGAAAGCCCCGGGCUCAACCUGGGAACGGCAUCCGGAACUGUCAAGCUAGAGUGCAGGAGAGGAAGGUAGAAUUCCCGGUGUAGCGGUGAAAUGCGUAGAGAUCGGGAGGAAUACCAGUGGCGAAGGCGGCCUUCUGGACUGACACUGACACUGAGGUGCGAAAGCGUGGGUAGCAAACAGGAUUAGAUACCCCAGUAGUC
rnacentral:rRNA from 1 species